AGUGAACGCUUGCGGUAGGCCUAACACAUGCAAGUCGAACGGCAGCACAGUAAGAGCUUGCUCUUACGGGUGGCGAGUGGCGGACGGGUGAGGAAUACAUCGGAAUCUACUUUUUCGUGGGGGAUAACGUAGGGAAACUUACGCUAAUACCGCAUACGACCUACGGGUGAAAGCAGGGGAUCUUCGGACCUUGCGCGAUUGAAUGAGCCGAUGUCGGAUUAGCUAGUUGGCGGGGUAAAGGCCCACCAAGGCGACGAUCCGUAGCUGGUCUGAGAGGAUGAUCAGCCACACUGGAACUGAGACACGGUCCAGACUCCUACGGGAGGCAGCAGUGGGGAAUAUUGGACAAUGGGCGCAAGCCUGAUCCAGCCAUACCGCGUGGGUGAAGAAGGCCUUCGGGUUGUAAAGCCCUUUUGUUGGGAAAGAAAAGCAGCAGGUUAAUACCCCGCUGUUCUGACGGUACCCAAAGAAUAAGCACCGGCUAACUUCGU
rnacentral:rRNA from 1 species